rnacentral:rRNA from 1 species
CCCAGACUCCUACGGGAGGCAGCAGUGGGGGAUAUUGCACAAUGGGGGGAACCCUGAUGCAGCGACGCCGCGUGGGUGAAGGAGCGUUUCGGCGCGUAAAGCCCUAUCGGCAGGGAAGAAGGAGGACGGUACCUGACUAAGAAGCCCCGGCUAACUACGUGCCAGCAGCCGCGGUAAUACGUAGGGGGCAAGCGUUAUCCGGAUUUACUGGGUGUAAAGGGGGCGCAGACGGCAGCGCAAGCCAGGAGUGAAAGCCCGGGGCCCAACCCCGGGACUGCUCUUGGAACUGCGCGGCUGGAGUGCAGGAGGGGCAGGCGGAAUUCCUAGUGUAGCGGUGAAAUGCGUAGAUAUUAGGAGGAACACCAGUGGCGAAGGCGGCCUGCUGGACGAUGACUGACGCUGAGGCUCGAAAGCGUGGGGAGCAAACAGGAUUAGAUACCCGGGUA